CCUACGGGAGGCAGCAGUGAGGAAUAUUGGUCAAUGGGCGCGAGCCUGAACCAGCCAAGUAGCGUGAAGGAUGACUGUCCUACGGGUUGUAAACUUCUUUUAUAGAGGAAUAAAGUGAGGCAUGUGUGCCUUUUUGUCUGUCCUUUAUGAAUACAGAUCGGGUAACUCCGUGCCAGCAGCCGCGGUAAUACGGAGGCACCGAGCGUUAUGCGGAUUUAUUGGGUGUAAAGGGAGCGUAGAUGGGUUGUUAAGUAAGUUGUGAAAGUUUGCGGCUUAACCGUAAAAUUGCAAUUGAUACUGGCAGUCUUGAGUACAGGAGAGGUAGGCGGAAUUCGUGGUGUAGCGGUGAAAUGCGUAGAUAUCACGAAGAACUCCGAUUGCGAAGGCAGCCUACUAAACUGCCACUGACAUUGAUGCUCGAAAGUGUGGGUAGCAAACAGGAUUAGAUACCCUAGUAGUC
rnacentral:rRNA from 1 species